rnacentral:misc_RNA from 1 species
UCCGGUUUGUCACCGGCAGUCUGGCGUGAGUCCCCAACUUAAUGCUGGCAACACGCCACGGGGGUUGCGCUCGUUGCGGGACUUAACCCAACAUCUCACGACACGAGCUGACGACAGCCAUGCAGCACCUGUGCUGGUGUCCCGAAGGAGGCCCGGUGUUUCCACCGGGUUGCACCAGCAUGUCAAGCCCAGGUAAGGUUCUUCGCGUUGCGUCGAAUUAAACCACAUGCUCCACCGCUUGUGCGGGCCCCCGUCAAUUCCUUUGAGUUUCAGUCUUGCGACCGUACUCCCCAGGCGGAGUGCUUAAUGUGUUGACGUCGGCACAGCAGGGGUCGAUACCCGCUACACCAAGCACUCAUCGUUUACGGCGUGGACUAC